rnacentral:lncRNA from 1 species
UCGUGCAUUUCAGCGAGGUGACAGAAUGAUAAUAUUUUUUUUUAGGGGUAAUUGUUUGUAUACUCCGAAAAAGUUUCCGACUUUCUGACUUACCCCUCUUAAAAGGCUAAUAUUAAAAAUAUUCUUUUUACGUUCCAACCUAUUUCAAAUAUACCCGUGGAGUUAAAUUCUGUUAUAAUGAAUUGCUAGCAAUAAUUGUUAUCUAAAUGAAAUUACUAUUACACCUUUCAAAUAUAUUCUUCUCACCGAUUUUUUUUAUUUGCCCUUUAAGUUCAGGGUACAAAAAAUAUUUUUGAUUUUUGCCUUUUCAAAUAUGCUCUUCUACCAUCACCAACAUUUUUUAUUUGUCCUUAAAUUAAGGGCAAAAGAGCUAUUUUAAAAUUUUCUUUUUAACUCUAAUAGAUAUUUAACUCACGUUUAAUCCAAGUUAACUUAAUAGGUGGUAAAAGUAGGGAUAUUUUGAAAUAACGGAGGAACAUAUGAGGGAUAUAUUGGAAAGAAAAAAAACAUAGGGGUAAAUAAAAUAUUUUAGAAAUUUUGAUGGGUAUAUAGAAA